UACGUAGGGUGCAGGGCGUUAAUCGGAAUUACUGGGCGUAAAGCGUGCGCAGGCGGUUGUGCAAGACAGAUGUGAAAUCCCCGGGCUUAACCUGGGGAAUUGCAUUUGUGACUGCACGGCUAGAGUGUGUCAGAGGGAGGUAGAUCACGUGUAGCAGUGAAAUGCGUAGAUAUGUGGGACGGAAUGACCGAUGGCGAAGGCAGCCCCCUGGGAUAACACU
rnacentral:rRNA from 1 species